UUAGAGGAAGUAAAAGUCGUAACAAGGUUUCCGUAGGUGAACCUGCGGAAGGAUCAUUAACGAGUUUUGAAACGAGUUGUAGCUGGCCUUCCGAGGCAUGUGCACGCUCUGCUCAUCCACUCUACCCCUGUGCACUUACUGUAGGUUGGCGUGGGCUCCUUAACGGGAGCAUUCUGCCGGCCUAUGUAUACUACAAACACUUUAAAGUAUCAGAAUGUAAACGCGUCUAACGCAUCUAUAAUACAACUUUUAGCAACGGAUCUCUUGGCUCUCGCAUCGAUGAAGAACGCAGCGAAAUGCGAUAAGUAAUGUGAAUUGCAGAAUUCAGUGAAUCAUCGAAUCUUUGAACGCACCUUGCGCUCCUUGGUAUUCCGAGGAGCAUGCCUGUUUGAGUGUCAUGGAAUUCUCAACUUAUAAAUCCUUGUGAUCUAUAAGCUUGGACUUGGAGGCUUGCUGGCCCUUGCGGUCGGCUCCUCUUGAAUGCAUUAGCUCGAUUCCGUACGGAUCGGCUCUCAGUGUGAUAAUUGUCUACGCUGUGACCGUGAAGUGUUUUGGCGAGCUUCUAACCGUCCAUUAGGACAAUUUUUUUUAACAUCUGACCUCAAAUCAGGUAGGACUACCCGCUGAACUUAAGCAUAUCAAUAAGCGGAGG
rnacentral:rRNA from 1 species